UACGGAGGGUGCAAACGUUGCUCGGAAUCAUUGGGCGUAAAGCGCGCGUAGGUGGCUUCGUAAGUCCGUUGUGAAAGUCAAAGGCUCAACCUUUGAAUGCCGAUGGAUACUGCGGAGCUAGAGUACGGAAGAGGCGAGUGGAAUUCCUGGUGUAGCGGUGGAAUGCGCAGAUAUCAGGAGGAACACCAAUAGCGAAGGCAGCUCGCUGGGACGUUACUGACACUAAGGCGCGAAAGCGUGGGGAGCGAACAGG
rnacentral:rRNA from 1 species